ACCGUUGCAAUAGACCAUAUGCUGCAACUGUUGUUACCGUUGCAUAAGACAUUACCCCCUAUUGAAAUAGUUCUAAGAGUAAACCGUUGCAGUAGUAAAAUAACCGUUGCCAAAGAUAAAUCUACGGCAACGGUCCCGGUAUAGAUUCAUCUGUAGCAACAGUUAUUUGAUUUCCCCUCAUAUUUUCCCUCUUCUAAUUUUACUAAACUGGAUUUUACCUUUUUCUUAUAUCCAGCCCUAGACCUUUUUGUAUUCCUCCAACUUGCCUCUUAAACAUCAGAACAUAUCCAGCCCCUUCUCUUAACUUCGAACCCUAACCUCUUGCGCCAGUCAAUCCGGGAAGGCUUUCCGUCAUGGCUCCGGCAAAAACUAUCGUAUUUCUUCUCCAGUACACAUCCCAACUGACACACAACCUAGGGUAAGUAAUUUAACAGUAGCAACAAAGAGUCACAAAUCUUGCUCCUCUAUAUUCUUACCAACUGAUGUGAGACACCACAAAGUUCCAUAUGUUUGUGAGUGUCUCGACUUGCCUCGUCACUACUCCAUUGAGGUUACUCUUGAUACUUAUGGGGUACCGCUGUGAUGUACUCAUGUUACGCUUCUGUACAUUUUUGUAUAGAUCCAGACACUUCUGAUCGUGUUGGUUCUUGAGAGUUGUGUUUGCACGUCUGGAGUCUUCAAGGUAUACCUUCUUGACGUUCGCAUGCCUCAGAGUCACCUUCUGAUAUUAUCUUUACUGUUGUUUAUCUUCAUUUCAGAAUAUUAUUGUAUUUAGAAAUUCUAGUGUAUGUCGGUAGAGCUUAUGACUCUGUACUAUCGGUUCUGGGGAUUGUAUAACAUUUGUUCAGUUUUAGUUACGUUAUCUCAUUUA